rnacentral:rRNA from 1 species
AUUGAACGCUGGCGGCAGGCCUAACACAUGCAAGUCGAGCGAGAGUCGCAGGGGUGAGUAUUGUCUCUGAAACUGUCCGAUGGAGGGGGAUAACUCCUGGAAAAGGUGUCGCAUAUCCCACACCAUCAGAUGUGCCCAGAUGGGAUUAGCUAGUGGGUGGGGUAACGGCUCACCUAGGCGACGAUCCCCAGCUGGUCUGAGAGGAUGACCAGCCACACUGGAACUGAGACACGGUCCAGACUCCUACGGGAGGCAGCAGUGGGGAAUAUUGCACAAUGGGCGCAAGCCUGAUGCAGCCAUGCCGCGUGUGUGAAGAAGGCCUUCGGGUUGUAAAGCACUUUCAGCGGGGAGGCGUUACCCGCAGAAGAAGCACCGGCUAACUCCGUGCCAGCAGCCGCGGUAAUAC